rnacentral:lncRNA from 1 species
AGGUUUCCGAUCUCCGGCGGGAUUCUUCCGACUAGCUCGUUACCGGAGAGAGCGAGGUACUCGAUGAACUCCCACUGUCCGUACUGCGGCGGGAUCUCCCCGCCGAAGAAGUUCCCUCCGAGGUGGAGGUGGCGGAGGUUGGGCAUUUCAGCGACGGCGAGAGGCAAGUCACCGGUCAUAUUGUUGUUGUAGAUGUCGAGUACCUCGAGGUUCUUGAGCUGGGCUAGCUGCGAGGGGAAAGUAUCAUUAAACCCAUUGUUGGAGAGAUUGAGGUAGCGGAGGUCGGUGGCGGCGGAGAGCUGCGGCGGGAUGGGGCCAGAGAAUUUGUUGACGUCGAGGGAGAGGUUCUGGAGGUAGCGGAGGUGGGAGAUAUCCGGGGAGAGGGUUCCCGUGAGGGAGAGGCUAGAGAGGUCUAAUGAGGUCACGUGACGGCUGGAGAAGUCGCACGUGACUCCCGGCCAGGAGCAGAGGUCGGCGGAGGAGUUCCAGGCGGAAAGGAAGGAGUUUGGGUCGUCGGUGACGGCGGAUUUUAGGGAGAGUAGAGCUUGGGUUUCGGAUAAUACGCGGCCGGUGGAAGUUGGGAUGUGGAGGUGGAUGAGGAGGAAGAAGAAGAGGAGAGGGUAAAGGAGUCUCAUCGUAGAUUGAGAAGAACACCUCACACUGCCCGUCCGGCGGGGGGAUCUCCCCGCCGAAGAAGUUCCCUCCGAGGUGGAGGUGGCGGAGGUUGGGCAUUUCAGCGACGGCGAGAGGCAAGUCACCGGUCAUAUUGUUGUUGUAGAUGUCGAGUACCUCGAGGUUCUUGAGCUGGGCUAGCUGCGAGGGGAAAGUAUCAUUAAACCCAUUGUUGGAGAGAUUGAGGUAGCGGAGGUCGGUGGCGGCGGAGAGCUGCGGCGGGAUGGGGCCAGAGAAUUUGUUGACGUCGAGGGAGAGGUUCUGGAGGUAGCGGAG